CCCUUAGAUGUUCUGGGCCGCACGCGCGCUACACUGACGAAUGCAACGAGCUUAUAACCUUGUCCGAAAGGUCUGGGUAAUCUCCAAAUUUCGUCGUGAUGGGGAUAGAUUAUUGCAAUUAUUAAUCUUCAACGAGGAAUGCCUAGUAAGCGCAAGUCAUCAGCUUGCGUUGAUUACGUCCCUGCCCUUUGUACACACCGCCCGUCGCUCCUACCGAUUGAAUGGUCCGGUGAAGCGUUCGGACCGUGGCCUUUGGACGGUUCGCCGUCUGUUGGCUGCGGGAAGUUCGUUAAACCUUAUCAUUUAGAGGAAGGAGAAGUCGUAGCA
rnacentral:rRNA from 1 species